AUUGAACGCUGGCGGCAGGCCUAACACAUGCAAGUCGAGCGAGCGGCGGACGGGUGAGUAAUGUCUGGGAAACUGCCUGAUGGAGGGGGAUAACUACUGGAAACGGUAGCUAAUACCGCAUACCAUCAGAUGUGCCCAGGUGGGAUUAGCUAGUAGGUGGGGUAACGGCUCACCUAGUCGACGAUCCCUAGCUGGUCUGAGAGGAUGACCAGCAACACUGGAACUGAGACACGGUCCAGACUCCUACGGGAAGCAGCAGUGGGGAAGAUUGCACAAUGGGCGCAAGCCUGAUGCAGCAAUGCCGCGUGUAUGAAGAAGGCCUUCGGGUUGUAAAGCACUUUCAGCGUGAAGGCGUUACCCGCAGAAGAAGCACCGGCUAACUCCGUGCCAGCCGGCGCGGUAAUUC
rnacentral:rRNA from 1 species